AGGAAAAAAAAGCCUAAAACGAGCCUUGUCUAAGAGCUAGCCACCGCAGGUGCUGGACUCUUCUAGAAAACAUGUCCCGUCGGCCUGGUCUCUCUUUGUAAACACUGAUAACUGGAUAUGACACCUCUUGUAGAGUGGAUGAAAUUUGUAAAUGUGGAUAUGAGCAUGGGCAUGAGACCGUAGAAUGAAAGAUACCAUUUACAUAUAAUAUCUGGUUGGUUGGCCAGAGUUUCUCAUCAAGGAGUACAUGCUGUUUGCUCCCCAGAUGGACAGCCUGGAUGAGCUACAAAUCCACAGAGCCUGGGACACAAGGUGAAAAACCAGUAUGCUGGCAUGGAGAUAUGACCUUCAUAUAGAGUCAAACAUAAGAAAGUAGAUGUCGGUACAUUAGGUAUGGUAUGUAUCACUUUGUGUUAAAAAACACACUAAUGUUUAUAUUAUGUCAUUAAGGGUAUUUAUCCUAGUGGUAAUUGAAGUUAUUUUGG
rnacentral:lncRNA from 1 species